UUGAGCCGUGUGCAGGGAAACUUGCAUGCACGGUUCUUAGGGGAGUCGGCCCAGGUAACUGGGCCCUCUUACCCGAC
rnacentral:ncRNA from 1 species